rnacentral:rRNA from 1 species
UACGUAGGGGCCUAGCGUUGUCCGGAUUUAUUGGGCGUAAAGAGCUCGUAGGCGGUUUGGUAAGUCGGGUGUGAAAUCUCCACGCUCAACGUGGAGGGGCCACCCGAUACUGCCAUGACUCGAGUCCGGUAGGGGAGUGUGGAAUUCCCGGUGUAGCGGUGAAAUGCGCAGAUAUCGGGAGGAACACCAAUGGCGAAGGCAGCUCGCUGGGACGUUACUGACGCUGAGACGCGAAAGCGUGGGGAGCAAACAGG